AGAUGGCGACCGGCGCACGGGUGAGUAACACGUAUCCAACCUGCCGAUAACUCGGGGAUAGCCUUUCGAAAGAAAGAUUAAUACCCGAUGGUAUAAUCAGACCGCAUGGUCUUGUUAUUAAAGAAUUUCGGUUAUCGAUGGGGAUGCGUUCCAUUAGGCAGUUGGUGAGGUAACGGCUCACCAAACCUUCGAUGGAUAGGGGUCUGAGAGGAAGGUCCCCCACAUUGGAACUGAGACACGGUCCAA
rnacentral:rRNA from 1 species